UACGUAGGGUGCGAGCGUUGUCCGGAAUUAUUGGGCGUAAAGGGCUCGUAGGCGGUCUGUUGCGUCGGGAGUGAAAACUCAGGGCUUAACCCUGAGCCUGCUUCCGAUACGGGCAGACUAGAGGUAUGCAGGGGAGAACGGAAUUUCUGGUGUAGCGGUGAAAUGCGCAGAUAUCAGGAGGAACACCGGUGGCGAAGGCGGUUCUCUGGGCAUUACCUGACGCUGAGGAGCGAAAGUGUGGGGAGCGAACAGG
rnacentral:rRNA from 1 species